rnacentral:rRNA from 1 species
CAGUAGCCGCGGGAAAACGAAGGGGGCUAGCGUUGUUCGGAUCUACUGGGCGUAAAGCGCACGUAGGCGGAUCGAUCAGUCAGGGGUGAAAUCCCAGAGCUCAACUCUGGAACUGCCUUUGAUACUGUCGAUCUGGAGUAUGGAAGAGGUGAGUAGAAUUCCGAGUGUAGAGGUGAAAUUCGUAGAUAUUCGGAGGAACACCAGUGGCGAAGGCGGCUCACUGGUCCAUUACUGACGCUGAGGUGCGAAAGCGUGGGGAGCAAACAGGAUUAGAGACCCCCGUAGUCCCUGUCUCUUAUAC